GACGAACGCUGGCGGCGUGCUUAACACAUGCAAGUCGAACGAAGUGGCGAACGGGUGAGUAACGCGUAAUAAACCUGCCCAUCAGAGGGGGACAACAGUUGGAAACGACUGCUAAUACCGCAUACUGAAGGAGGGGAUUGCGUCUGAUUAGCUAGUUGGAGGGGUAAUCGCCCACCAAGGCGAUGAUCAGUAGCCGGUCUGAGAGGAUGAACCGCCACAUUGGGACUGAGACACGGCCCAGACUCCUACGGGGUGCAGCAGUGGGGAAUCUUCCGCAAUGGACGAAAGUCUGGCGGAACAAAGGCGCGUGAGUGAUGACGGCCUUCGGGUUGUAAAGCUCUGUUAAUCGGGACGCGGUACCGGAAUAGAAAGCCACGGCUAACUACGUGCCAGCAGCCGCGGUAAUAC
rnacentral:rRNA from 1 species